GUGUCAGCCGCCGCGGUAAGACGAACCGUGCGAACGUUGUUCGGAAUCACUGGGCUUAAAGGGCGCGUAGGCGGGUCUUCAAGUUUGGGGUGAAAUCCUCCGGCUCAACCGGAGAACUGCCUCGAAUACUGAAGGUCUCGAGGGGGAUAGGGGCAUGCGGAACUACGGGUGGAGCGGUGAAAUGCGUUGAUAUCCGUAGGAACUCCGGUGGCGAAGGCGGCGUGCUGGAUCCCUUCUGACGCUGAGGCGCGAAAGCCAGGGGAGCAAACGGGAUUAGAUACCCCAGUAGUCC
rnacentral:rRNA from 1 species